ACAUGCAAAUCGCCGAAUUGUCGUCGUCGUCGUCGUCUUUCUCUGUCUCCCGACUCACUUCUAUCAUCAUUGACGGGCAUUUCGGAUUUGGAAAAUUAUCAUAAUAUUCCGCAUUUAAAACACGGUGCGAUACGAAUUUCGAAUUCAGUUUUUGAUUUUUUCCCCGUUUCACCGCCACCAAAACCUUCGACUUUUUCCCCUUCUGCUUGUCCGCCACCUGGUUCGAAAAAGUCCGUCUUUUUCAACCGCUUCUCCCGAAUUCAAGUUGGCUUUGGCAAAACUGUCAAAGCGCGUGGUUAUUAUAAAUCCAACAAUCUUGGCUCGCUCAACCUUCCACCGCUACUUUGCGUCGAACAACGACGAUUUUGGCUAGCUCGAGCCAAAUAGGAAUCACCGUCUUCUCCUAAAGUUCAAAUUGUCGUAAUUCACGCUAGGCGCCGCUCGAAAUGGCGUCAGUUGUUGUAGUCACUGCUGGAACCGCUCUCGCCGUCACCGUACCACUCGUGGCGCUGAAAGAGUCAUUGGAGAGCCGUUUCAAGAGUAACAUGAAGAAGCACUUGCCACAUAGACCACGUUGUCGCGUCAACUUCCCUGAUAUUGAGAACGAACUCGAGCAGCAAUAUCAGUACGUCAUGAAUAAUAAGAACAGCACACGUAACAUGAAGGACCACUUGGUGCCAAACAACUCCAAAUGCUCUUCUGAUGAUGAAGACAACUCAUCCACCAUCAGUUCUCCACCGAGCUACAACGACAUCACUCAGCAACCACCAGCAUACGGUCUGUUUGCUGUGCAACGUGGAAAUUGA
rnacentral:misc_RNA from 1 species